rnacentral:rRNA from 1 species
CUACGGGUUGCAGCAGUGAGGAAUAUUGCACAAUGGGGGGAACCCUGAUGCAGCAACGCCGCGUGGAGGAUGACGCAUUUCGGUGUGUAAACUCCUUUUAUAUGUCAAGAAAAUGACGGUAGCAUAUGAAUAAGCACCGGCUAACUCCGUGCCAGCAGCCGCGGUAAUACGGAGGGUGCAAGCGUUACUCGGAAUCACUGGGCGUAAAGGACGCGUAGGCGGGUUGGAAAGUCAGGUGUGAAAUCCUACAGCUUAACUGUAGAACUGCACUUGAAACUGCUAAUCUAGAGUAUGGGAGGGGGAGAUGGAAUUAGUGGUGUAGGGGUAAAAUCCGUAGAUAUCACUAGGAAUACCUAAAGCGAAGGCGAUCUCCUGGAACAUUACUGACGCUGAGGUGCGAGAGCGUGGGGAGCAAACAGGAUUAGAUACCCCCGUAGUC